CAGCUGCCUCUGUCCUCUGCAGAAAUGGCUGUAUUUCUGUGUGGGCACGCUUCCAGAUGAAAGGAACUAUACAUAAGCUUCUUCUGUCAAUAUUUUUUUUCAAGAGCACUUUAAGAUUCACCCUAGCUGAAAUAGAUGCUCACAGAUUAUUAUUUCUACACAUUCAACAAUAUAAUUUUGAGUAUCUUGUCUUUGUCCUUUUGGUACAACACUUGACGUCUCCUCGCAUUGAGUCUAAUAUUUUUUCCACUAGGAACCAGUGAACCAUGUGAGUAAAUUUUAGCAAUAAUUCUGUGCUGCUUCUGUCUUUCCCCUCUCUUUCGGUUAAAAAAUCCAAUCCGCUUUUCUUACUUUGUGAAAUUUUGGUUUCAAGUGUGCUGCAAUUUCAACAAUCUCGUGAUCACAGAGGUAAAAGGGAAGCUCUAACAAUAUGUGUCUAGUGAAAUCAGCCCUGUCAAAGCUAUUUUUAUAGAUCAUGCUCUUUGGAGCAGAGUUCAAAAGGCAGGCUGGAAUUUGCUGUUUUGAAUUUGUUCUUCAUAAUUAUUAUUUAAAAGGAAGUUUUAAAAGUAACCUUAGCUGAUGAGUGUGGGCCAGAUACAAUACUACAAUCGUUUUUCUAGUUUGAAAACUUUCAAAGUGAAGCAAAGAGCCCUACUUAGCUGUUGUUGAUGUAACUUGAUCAUUUGAAUUGUCAACAAUUUAGAGGUUAUUUUACCAAAUUAAUUCUCUGGGCCAUUACAAAUUAACUAUUAAAAUUUACAAAAAAAUUGGACGUUGCAGGGAGUAACGUAUACUAGAUUUAGGGGAAGAUUUUCAAAGGCACCUAACUCGGUAAAAAUCAAUAGGAAUUAAGUGCCUAACUGCCAUUUGAAAAUCUUUCCCUUAGGUUUUAAAUGUGAAAAAGGCUUGCUUAGUGAGCAGACAGAAAGGAUUGCAUGGAAAACCUAAGCAGCUGAUGCACAUUAAGACUAAAUGUGUAUAUAUUCCUGAGCCAAAAAGUGCAGGAGUCUAGAAAAUUUAAUUGUGAAAUGUCUUUUGUUAUCAGAGCUGUUUUUUUACUAAGAACCAAGACUGUAAAUCUUUCCAAGUAGCUAUUCCAUAGAUGUGGGCUGUUUUUGUUGGGCAAAGCUACAGUUUUAUAGAUGAAAAAGGAUUUUAGAUAUUCUUUUUGAAACUAAAUGGGAUGUUUGGCCAUCAUGGGAGGUGAAACUUCUGUGUUAGCAUUAAGUAUUUGUAUCAGAUUAUGGGGGAACAAUGGAUUGGUGCUCAGGACGUGUCCCCCAUAAGUACCCAGUUGCAGCUUGUCUGUGGUCUGGGGAAACAGACAAUCCAACUAGCAGUGCAUAUGCCAAAUAAAUAUCAGAUUAUGGGCA
rnacentral:lncRNA from 1 species